rnacentral:rRNA from 1 species
UACGAAGGGGGCUAGCGUUGCUCGGAAUUACUGGGCGUAAAGCGCACGUAGGCGGUCUUUUAAGUCGGGGGUGAAAUCCUGGAGCUCAACUCCAGAACUGCCUUCGAUACUGGAAGACUUGAGUCCGGGAGAGGUGAGUGGAACUGCGAGUGUAGAGGUGAAAUUCGUAGAUAUUCGCAAGAACACCAGUGGCGAAGGCGGCUCACUGGCCCGGUACUGACGCUGAGGUGGCGAAAGCGUGGGGAGCAAACAGG